GUCGUUGUAGUAUAUUGGUGAGUAUCCCCGCUUGUCACGCGGGAGACCCGGGUUCGAUCCCCGGCAACGGCG
rfam:Ipomoea nil DNA, scaffold: scaffold3056, cultivar: Tokyo-kokei standard.